rfam:Triticum aestivum genome assembly, contig: Triticum_aestivum_CS42_TGACv1_scaffold_330545_4BS
AUAGUACCCACUUCAUCCGGAAAUACUUGUCGGAGAAAUAGAUAUAUCUAGAUAUAUUUUAGUUCUAGAUACAUCUAUUUUUAUCCAUUUCUCGACAAGUAUUUCCGGACGGAUGAAGUACUAC